rnacentral:rRNA from 1 species
GACGAACGCUGGCGGCGUGCUUAACACAUGCAAGUCGAACGGAAAGGCCUUUUCGGUGGUACUCGCGUGGCGAACGGGCGAGUAACACGUGGGUGAUCUGCCCUGCACUCUGGGAGAAGUCUGGGCAACUGGGUCUAAUACCGGACAGGACCGCACUUCCGUGCGUGUGGCGGAAAGUUUUCUCGGUGUCGGAUGAGCCCGCGGCCUAUCAGCCUGAGGGUGGGGUAAUGGCCCACCAAGGCGGCGGCGGGUAGCCGGACGGAGGGGUGGGUCGGCCAUAGUCGGGCUGGGAUGCGGCCCAGACCCCGACCGGAGGCAGCUGCGGGGAAGAUUGCACAAUGGGCACCAGCCUGGUGCUGCGACGCCAGGUUGGGGAUGGCGGCCUACGGGUUGUAAACGCCUUUCGCCAGGGGCCUAGCGGUUUGUGACGGUACCUGGAGAAGAAGCACCGGCUAACUACGUG